rnacentral:pre_miRNA from 1 species
CGAACAACAUUCGGGCCGUCGGUCUACCGAGCAAUAUCACCCGCUCGGUGGAAGAUCUUCCCUUAAUUGUCGUAAACC